rnacentral:rRNA from 1 species
GACGAACGCUGGCGGCGUGCUUAACACAUGCAAGUCGAACGGUAAGGCCCCUUCUGGGGUGCGCGAUUGACUGACGAGUGGGUAACACGUAGGUGAGCUACCCUCCCCUUCGGGUUAGACCACGGAAACUGGGUCUAGUACCGACUGGGUCCACGCUCUGCCUGCAGUGUGGUGGAAAGCUUUUGCGGUGUGGGAUGGGCGCGCGGCCUAUCAGCUUGUUGGUGGGGUGGUGGCCUACCAAGGCGACGACGGGUAGCCGGCCUGAGAGGGUGGCCGGCCACACUGGGACUGAGAUACGGCCCAGACUCCUACGGGAGGCAGCAGUGGGGAAUAUUGCACAAUGGGCGGAAGCCUGAUGCAGCGACGCCGCGUGGGGGAUGACGGCCUUCGGGUUGUAAACCGCUUUCAGCAGCGACGAAGCGUAAGUGACGGUAGUUACAGAAGAAGCACCGGCUAACUACGUG